AGCAGUAGCCGCGGGAACACCAGCACCUCGAGUGGUCAGGAGGUUUAUUGGGCCUAAAGCAUCCGUAGCCGGUUGCAUAAGUUUUCGGUUAAAUCUAUGCGCUUAACGUAUAGGCCGCCGAAAAUACUGUGCAGCUAGGGAGUGGGAGAGGUACACGGUACUCGAUAGGAAGGGGUAAAAUCCUUUGAUCUAUUGAUGACCACCUGUGGCGAAGGCGGUGUACCAGAACACGUUCGACGGUGAGGGACGAAAGCUGGGGGAGCAAACCGGAUUAGAUACCCCCGUAGUCCCUGUCUCUUAUAC
rnacentral:rRNA from 1 species